GGGAGCCUCGUCCCUCCCGUCGGUUGGGCUGGAGGCAGGGCCUUUGUGAAGGCGGGUGGUGCUGGAUCGCCUCUGGGCCCUUCCUCCAGCCCAGAGGCGGAGUCACCGCGAGGGAGGCG
rnacentral:pre_miRNA from 15 species